GAGUUUGAUCGUGGCUCAGAACGAACGCUGGCGGCAUGCUUCAUACAUGCAAGUCGAACGGUUGUAGCAAUACAAUAGUGGCGAACGGGUGCGUAACACGUGGAUAAUCUGCCCUUUGGCGGGGGAUAUCGGCUGGAAACGGCCGGCAAUACCGCAUGUGGCCCGUGGGUCUCUGGACCUGCGGAAGAAAGGCGCUUCACGGCGUCGCCAGAGGAUGAGUCCGCGGCCCAUUAGCUAGUUGGUGAGAUAACAGCCCACCAAGGCUUUGAUGGGUAGCCGAGCUGAGAGGUUGAUCGGCCACACUGGGACUGAGACACGGCCCAGACACCUACGGGUGGCAGCAGUAGGGAAUAUUGGACAAUGGGCGAAAGCCUGAUCCAGCAAUGCCGCGUGAGUGACGAAGGAUUUCGGUCUGUAAAGCUCUUUUGUGAGGGAAGAAACGACGCGUGAGGAAAUGCUCGCGUCUUGACGGUACCUCAUGAAUAAGGGACGGC
rnacentral:rRNA from 1 species